rnacentral:rRNA from 1 species
UGAGGAACUUGCCCAUGAGCGGGGGACAACAUUCGGAAACGGAUGCUAAUACCCCAUAGGUGGAUUGGUCGCAUGACGAAUUCAUUAAAGGUGGCUCUGCUACCACUCAUGGAUAGCCUCGCGGCGUAUUAGCUAGUUGGUAAGGUAAUGGUUUACCAAGGCAUUGAUACGUAGCCGACUUGAGAGGGUGAUCGGCCACACUGGGACUGAGACACGGCCCAG